rnacentral:piRNA from 1 species
UGAAAUAGGAGAUGGAGGAUGGC